GAUGAAGAACGUAGUGAAAUGCGAUAAGUAAUGUGAAUUGCAGAAUUCAGUGAAUCGUCGAAUCUUUGAACGCAUCUUGCGCUCCCUGGUAUUCCGAGGAGCAUGCCUGUUUGAGUGUCAUCUAAAUCCUCAAACCACAUUGAUUCUUUCGGUGUGGCUUUGGAAGUGGGGGUAGUGUUUGCAGGUUUUAUCUUAAGUCUGCUCCCCUGAAAUGCAUUAGUGGUAUCUGAGCAGAAGGAACUACUACAGGUGUGAUAAUUUAUCUAUGCCUUAGUAUACUGCAUAAAACAGAUUACACUGCUUAUAACAAACUUUAUUUCUUUUUUUUGGAGACCUCAAAUCAGGUAGGACUUCCCGCUGAACUUAAGCAUAUCAAUAAGCGGAGGA
rnacentral:misc_RNA from 1 species